rnacentral:rRNA from 1 species
GAUGAACGCUGGCGGCGUGCCUAAUACAUGCAAGUCGAGCGAACAGACGAGGAGCUUGCUCCUCUGACGUUAGCGGCGGACGGGUGAGUAACACGUGGAUAACCUACCUAUAAGACUGGGAUAACUUCGGGAAACCGGAGCUAAUACCGGAUAAUAUAUUGAAUCGCAUGGUUCAAUAGUGAAAGACGGUUUUGCUGUCACUUAUAGAUGGAUCCGCGCCGCAUUAGCUAGUUGGUAAGGUAACAGCUUACCAAGGCAACGAUGCGUAGCCGACCUGAGAGGGUGAUCGGCCACACUGGAACUGAGACACGGUCCAGACUCCUACGGGAGGCAGCAGUAGGGAAUCUUCCGCAAUGGGCGAAAGCCUGACGGAGCAACGCCGCGUGAGUGAUGAAGGUCUUCGGAUCGUAAAACUCUGUUAUUAGGGAAGAACAAAUGUGUAAGUAACUAUGCACGUCUUGACGGUACCUAAUCAGAAAGCCACGGCUAACUACGUG